rnacentral:rRNA from 1 species
UACGUAGGGACCAAGCGUUGUUCGGAUUUACUGGGCGUAAAGGGCGCGUAGGCGGCGUGGUAAGUCACUUGUGAAAUCUCUGAGCUUAACUCAGAACGGUCAAGUGAUACUGCUGUGCUAGAGUGCGGAAGGGGCAAUCGGAAUUCUUGGUGUAGCGGUGAAAUGCGUAGAUAUCAAGAGGAACACCUGAGGUGAAGACGGGUUGCUGGGCCGACACGUGACGCUGAUGACGCGAAAGCCCAGGGGAGCAAACGGG